AUGAGCAUGGAACCAUCUUGGGUCGUGCCUUGCGACUCGGGUUGGUCCAUGGAAGAUGCAGCUGCUGCGUGGAGUAGUGAUCAUAGGAUUAGCUUCCAAACAUCCUUGCCUAGCGGUAGUGAUAGCGGAAUGCAGCUGCAGGUGGUUGAGUAUGCAGCCCCAGCCACACCCACACACGAUACUUGUACAGAUCAGGACCAGGUGCUCAAGGAAGUAGUGCAAGCGUUCAAUGCUGACUAUUUGGACAUUAUGGAAAAGAAGAUGCACAGGUUCCCUCCCAGCCUGGUGGAUGUCGACGGCCGGUACAAGGUCCCGGUGACUGUGGCCAUCGGCCCUUACCACCACGGUCAUCCCGGCAGGCUGGAGGCGGAGAGGGUGAAGCAUGUGGCUGCCAGCCAAUGCGUCACGGACUCGGGCCUCUCACUCCAGGAGCUGUACAGCGUGGUCUGCUCCGUGUCAGACGACGCCCGCAGCCUCUACUACCACAAUGAGGCGGCGGGUAAAUAUAUGGGCAACGACGAUUUUCUGCCAAUGAUGUUCUUUGAUGGUUGCUUCUUGGUGCAGUUCAUGCGUUGGUAUUACCCCGACAGAGACAUGCAUGAGGCGCUGGACAGCUACUUCUACGCCCACUUCGAGCGCAUCUCCACGGACAUCAUGAUGCUUGAGAACCAGAUCCCUUGGGUGGUGGUUCAAGCCAUCUUCAACCUCAUGCCGCCAGCGGCCUCGCCCUGGCUCUCGCCCUGGGAGCAGUUCGUCAUUAAGAUGAGAAGCGGCAUGAAAAACCGAGAGGUUUCCAACAUCGACUCCGACGACAUCGUGGUAGAUCCUACAUAUAAACCACCACAUCUCCUCGGCCUCGUCCGGUUCUACAUCGUGGGAAGCGAGGACGACAGACCAGACUUCAAGAUCCAUGAAGACAUGCCCAUGUCAUUAUCUAUCAGCAUGGCCGAGCUUGCUGACAUCGGUAUUGAGCUGAAUCCCAAGGGAAUGCAAGCAGGGCUAGUGGACAUGCGCUUCAGCACGAAACCAUGGUGCUUCAUAGAAUUCGGCGAUCUCGUCCUGCCGCCCCUGUACCUGACCGAAGCAAAUGCGACCUGGCUCGUCAACAUGGCGGCCUUCGAGUUAUGCAAGACCCCACAUUUCGGAGAAGUUAAUCCUGAUCUUGUUCGUGAUAAAGAUUCCGCUGUAUGCUCCUACAUCCACCUCUUCGCCAUGCUGCUGGACCGGGAGCAGCAUGUGCAUGAGCUGCAGAAAAAACUGGUCAUCGAUGGAGGAGGACUCACCAGCACGGAGGCGCUCGAAUACUUCACUUCCAUUGGCAAGAACAUGCGCCUCGGAACAUUCUACCUCGACAUAAUAACACAGAUCGAGAUCUUCAAGAAAAUGAGGUCACGUAGGCUCAGGUCGUACCUCUUCCUUAAGAAGUACAGGACUACAAUCGCGGCCGUGUUCUCCAUCAUUGUUGCAGUCGUCGGCAUAUUGUCGUCGCUCCAAGCUCUCAAGCCACGCUAA
rnacentral:rRNA from 1 species